CCCCCUCCGUGCAUCGACUUCUUCGACGGCAACUUCCCCUUCUGCUACAACGACCACCAGUGUCCACCGGGCCAGAAAUGUUGCAGAGACGCCUGUUCCCAAAGGAAAGUUUGUUUGGCCGUCUGAGUAGUGCUCCAGCGACUGCAUGGCCGCAUGAUCGACUGCUGAGGAACUGCGUGCUUGGCCAUUUUAUAUCUUUCUUGUUUUUGCUGUUCGUUCAUUUCUUUAUAAUUUUCCUUGUGGACGCCAAGAUCUCCUAUUGGCUUCAGAUCUCUUCUUUGAAAUGCACAAGAAUGCCCUUUGACCAAUAAAUUUCGAUUGGAAUUUU